GGCAAAUUGGGAAAAGGCACUGCCUCGGGGGCCUGUUGGCUAUUGCCAUUGGAAGGCUCCUGGCUGGGAGGCGGAGCCGUAUUGAAAUGCUCACUGCUGUGGCUUGGUCGGGGCCCCUCAUUCUCCUCCUUGGCUGUCACCAGCACCUCUGCACCUGGUAGUGAUGAGGCCCCAAGGCCAGCGAGGUAUCAGUGCGCUCGGCGGCUCGGGAGCGAGGCUGCCCCGCGCCAGGAGCCCAGGUUUCUCGUCAGUCACAGCGCGCUCUUGUCAGCGGCGGGCGGGGCAGGGCCUGGCGGCCUCCGCGCAGAUGGGGCAGCUCUGCGGGCCAUUCUGUCUUUGCAGCUUCCUGUGCGAGGGUAUGGUUUUCAUCAGCCUCUGUGCCGUGCCGUAGACAGCACCGACUUUGUAAGAUCGGGUUUGCUCUGCAGCCAGAAGGAAACAGCGAGACAUUUCUGUGUAUGCGAGGUGCCUGUAGGAAGGCCAGGGAGGGCGUGGGCAGCCACCCAGAGGUCCCAGUGGGGUGCUCUCGCUGUGACGGGGCGGGGGAGUCCAGGCUGGGAGGAGCACCUUUCCCACGCUCAGACUCCAUUAAAUCCAGCGGAGAAAUGAGCCUCGUCGCUGGAAACGGCUUUCUCUCCUGGUUGGCACAGCCCCUGCCCGGCAUGGCCACCUUGCCUGCUGUGUCCACGAGUCCUUCCACAGAAGAAAGUCGUGUCUCUGUCUUGUCUCCUCCCCCCCGAUCUCCUUCCCGGGGACAGUCCCAAAGCAGUGCACAGGGCCAGCAGUGUUCGGGGUGCUUGGUGUACGUGCUGCCAGAGGGUCCUCCCUGUGAGGGUUAACAUGGCUCUGAUCAAUAAGAGAGGCCUCAUCCACCCUGGCAGGCCACAAAAUCAGCUCUGGCCAAGCCUGGAAAGCGGGUAAGUUUCCCAGCUUCACGCGUUCCCAGAGGGAGAAUAGCACAUGUGUGUGUCGUGUGUGUGGAAUGGAAACAGAAGGGUACCUUCCUUUGCGGAACUCCUAGGUGAAAAUGGAGAUGGGACUCCCAGAGGGGUGGUGGGCACACAGCCUACUCCACAGCCUUCAGGUCGCCGUUUCUUACAGUGGGAAUAAUUGGCAAGUGGAGGGCGAGUCGGCUGGGACAAUGGCAUUCGUGUGAGGAUGCGGGGAGAAUGUGUAAGACGUCAGAAACGAAAAGUCCCCCUGAGGCUUUCCGAGGGAAAGUCCGACCCUGGAAGUUGAAGUGUGAUUCGCAUGGAGCUUCUGAAGCAGACGCUCCCUGUGCCCGCACCCUGGUUCCAGGAAGUGCAGCCUGUUCUGCCAUCCCUGACGGAAUAGCCUGGCAGGGGCCGUCGCGGGCCAGGCUCUGCCAUGAAGCCGUCAACAGGGACAGUGAUCGCCACCGCAGAAGUCAGUUUUCCCUCCUGUCUGUCUGAGUAUUAGUAGAAGGGCGGCCACGCCUGAGUGGACAUGGCUGAGCACAUCCUGUGCUGCAGAGGCUGUGUGAGAUGUCCCACAGUGGACCUCCAGACAGUGGCACACCCCAUGCUGUACACCGUGUGAGGUGUACACAACUCCUGACAGUGGUACACCCAUGCUGUACACCGUGUGAGGUGUACACAACCCCUGACAGUGGCACACCCAUGCUGUACACCGUGUGAGGUGUACACAACUCCUGACAGUGGCACACACCUAUGCUGUACACUGUGUGAGGUGUACACAACUCCUGACAGUGGCACACACCUAUGCUGUACACCGUGUGAGGUGUACACAACUCCUGACAGUGGCACACACCUAUGCUGUACACCGUGUGAGGUGUACACAACUCCUGACAGUGGCACACACCUAUGCUGUAUACCAUGUGAGGUGUGCACAACUGCUGACAGUGGCACACACCUAUGCUGUACACUGUGUGAGGUGUAACAACUCCUGACAGUGGCACACACCUAUGCUGUACACUGUGUGAGGUGUACACAACUACAGACAGUGGCACACGUCCCAUGCUGUAUACUGUGUGAGGCGUACACAACUCCUGACAGUGGCACACGUCCCAUGCUGUACACCGUGUGAGGUAUCCCAGGACUCCGGUCAGUGGUACACUUCCCAUGCUGUACACCAUGUGAGGUAUACACGACCUCCAGACAGUGACACACAUCCUAUGCUGUAGAUGCUUUGUAAGAUGUACCAGGACUCCAGGCAGUGGUACACACCCCAUGCUGUACACUGUGUGAGGUGUACACAACUCCAGGCAGUGGUACACACCCCAUGCUGUACACUGUGUGAGGUGUACACAACUCCAGACAGUGGUACACAUCCCAUGCUGUACACUGUGUGAGGUGUACACAACUCCAGACAGUGGUACACAUCCCAUGCUGUACACUGUGUGAGGUGUACACAACUCCAGACAGUGGCACACACUCCAGGCUAUACAUCAUGUGAGGUGUCCCAGGACUCCAGACAGUGGUACAAAAUCAUGGCAGUGGAGUUCCUACUAGAGAGAGAAGAAGGAAGAGUUUCUAAGAAGAAUCAGUAACCUACCUAAACUAGAUCAAGUAAAAAUGGGGUUGAUUAUAAGGAAAAAUGGCAACAUUGUCCAACCCAGAUGCAGGAAGUCCAGUGAAGCUUAAACAGAGCUACGCCGUCCUCAAUGUCCAGUCUCCUUAGGUGGUCAUACGCCGUCUCUCAGUGUCCAGUCUCCUUAAGUGGUCUUCUGUUUGGAGCAGUGGAAAUCUCAUCUAGUGUGAACUCUGAAUGGUUAGCUUACAUAAUUGAUAUGACUUUUUGAGUUUUAUACAACCAGUAUUUUUUAAAUACCAAAGUAAUUUGAGCAAAGUAGAAGUAAUAUGGUUGGCAGUUGGCUCCUGCUCACCCUCCCACUGGGCCUGCAGCUGUCAGUGUGUUCUGGAUCCUUCUGUAGUCACGUGAACCUUUAUAUGCACAUAUAGGCCUUGGUAUUUUGUUGUUUAAUUUUGCUUUUAAAACAUGAUACUUAUUUAUCACUUUAGUUACCUAAAAGAUGGAGGCCAUCCCUCCGCAAACAGAUGUGGAUCUAACUCAUUCUUUAAAAACAAAAGGAUUUAUGUAUUUAUUUACUUAUUCAUUCAUUUAUUUGAAAGGCAGAGCCUCAGAGAAGAGAGAGAGAGAGAGAGAGAGAGAGAGAGGGAGGGAGAGAGGGAGGUCGGUCGGUCGGUCUUCUAUAUACUGGUCCACUCUGCAAAUGGCUGAAAUAGCCAGAGCUUGGCCAGGCCAAAGCUGGAAGCCAGGAGCUCCAUCCUUGUCUCCCACAUGAGUGGCAGGGGCUCAAGUACUUGAGCCAUUAUCUGCUGUCUUCCAAAGUACAUAAGCAGAAAGCUGGAUCAGAAGUGGAACAGGGGCUGGUGCUGUGGCGUAGUGGGUAAAGCCGCUGCCUGCAGUGCCGGCAUCCCAUAAGGGUGCUGGUUUGAGUCCCGGCUGCUCCACUUCUGACUCAGCUCCCUGCUGUGGCCUGGGAAAGCAGUGGAAGAUGGCCCAAGUCUUUGGGCCCCUGCACCCACGUGGGAGACCCAGAGGAAGCUCCUGGCUCCUGGCUUCGGGUCAGCACAGCUCCAGCCGUUGCAGCCAGUUGGGGAGUGAACCAUCAGAUGGAAGAACACACACUCUCUCUCUCUCUCUCUUUCUGCAUCUCCUUCUCUCUAUGUAACUCUGAAUUUCAAAUAAAUAAAUAAAUCUUAAAAAAAAAAAAAGCGGAACAGCUGGGACUUGAACUUGCACUCCAGUAUAGGACGUCUGCAUGACAAGCAACAGCUCAACCUGCUGCACCACAAUGUCGGCCCCUUUCGUUCGUAAAAAUAUUACAACGGAUUCCAUUGUCUGUGUUUCAAAGGAGGUACAUUUUGACAUCUCUAAAAGUGACUUAAACUCUCUUAGAAACGUCUUCAUUCAAUAACAGUCUAAGUAAGAGCAGUCAAGGGUUGCGUGCUCAGUGUUUGAGAGACCUGGGCUCCAUGGGCUUCACUGAUCUGCUGUUCCUGGGGUGUCAGGUUCAUCUGCACGUCCAGGAUGGUUCACUACUACUUCACAUUCUAGGCAGUGGGGCAGGGGCAGAGGCAGGGGCAGGUGCAGGGGCAAGUUAGCAACAGCCUUCCUUCUCCCAUGUUCCAGCAUCUCAUCACAGGCCCAUCCUCCUUAGUGACAGGGCCUCCAGUUGACGCCUUUGUUCUUGGUGCUACAAACAGUGGUAGAGGAGCACUCCUGUACAGAGGUCUUAGGUGCUGGUACUGAGAGUGCAGGGUCCCCCGGAGUGCAGUUGCUCUAAACCUGCAUUUAUUUUACAUACCAUAAACUGAAACCCUCAAAUAAAAAUUUAAAAUUUUGUAGUUGGAUUCAUAGUUUAGUUGAUAAAGAUCUUUAGCUAUGUUUCAUGCCAUGUUGACCAUCACCAUACUAAUUCAGCCAUGUUUGGAAAGUUACUUAAAUAUUUUAUUUCAUUUUUAUUUAUACAAAUUAGUGGACAAUAGAAAAAUCAAAGGUUUGCCAUCAGUGAGAUCAUUCCUGAAAUUUAUGACAUUCUCAGAGCAGGGAGUUGUGUCUGCUUUGUUCCCUGCGUUAUUGCUGGCACCUAGAAAAGUAUGAAGCAGGGUAGGCUCGCGCGGUACGUCGGCUGAGUCAGUGAGCGGUGAAUUUUCAUUGAGACAAAUGGAAAUGCUUGGAAGCACUAAGAAUAGGAGAUCUUUAUCGACGUUAGGCACUGCCCUCAAAGUGAUUCGUUCAUUUGUUAAAGAAAAGAAGAAAAUAAAAUUGCAAGUAUAUGAAAUCCUGGAAAGAAACUACUUAAGAUUUCACAAAGACGUUGCAGUUGAGAGGCUUCAAGCUAUAGACUGAAAAUAUCAGCAAAAACCACACUUUCAGAUGCCAAAGUGAGUUCAUGGAAUCAUUGCUUUUUGGUUCUCCUCUCAACUCCUCUUUUAGAAAUUAAAAAAAAAAAUACUUGAAAAAGCUAGAGACAAGGAGAGAGAGAGAGAGAGAGAGAGAGAGAGAGAGAGAGAGAUGCUGUGAGAUCUUCCAUCUGCUGGUUCUCUCCACAGACACCCACAACAGCUGGGGCUGGGCCAGUACUGGGAUGGCAGAGAACCAAGUACGACUUGACCAUCACCUGCUGCCUCCUAGAGUGGGCAUUAGCAGGAAACUGGUCUCAGACAGAAGCCGAGCUGGGGCUCCAUCUGAGGGCCUCUGCAUGGGAUACGGGCAUCCCAAGUGUUGGCUUCACCACUGUGUCAAACAGUCGUCCGUAUCAUAACUCCUUUUCCAGGAAGAGAAAAUAGCUCAGCAUUUUCAUGGCAAAAUGUUUGAUGUUAAGAUCAGCAGAGAGGCUGGUGCUGUGGCGUAGAGGGCUAAGCCUCCACCUGCGGUGCGGCAUCCCAUAUGGGCGCCGGUUUGUGUCCCAGCUGCUCCUCUUCCGAUCCAGCUCUCUGCUGUAGACUGAGAGAGCAGUGGAAGAUGGCCCAAGCGCUUGGGCCUCUGCACCCGCAUGGGAGACCUGGAGGAAGCUCCUUGCUUUUGAUCGAAUGGAAGUC